CGGGUAUUAGGUUUUGGGGCUAGGGUUAGGUUUAAGGUUUUUGGGGUUAGGGUUAAAAUAACUGUCCAAUAUAUUUAAAGGAACAUGUUUCAGACCUUUGGGAAAUAGUUAGACAAAAAAAAAAGAAAAAGAAAAAAAAUAUAUUUGGGGUGUUCGGGCUUCCUGAAGGUAAUACCCGGGUAUUAGGUUUUGGGGCUAGGGUAAGGUUUAAGGUUUUUGGCGUUAGGGUUAAAAUCACUGUCCAAAACCUUUGUAGGAAUGUUUUUCCGACCUUUUGGAGUUAGUUAGACCAAAAAAAAAAAAGAAUAAUAAAAAAUAUAUAUUUGGGGUGUUCGGGCUUCCUGAAGAAAAUACCCAGGUAAUAGGUUAUGGGGCAAGGGUAAGGUUUAAGGUUUUUGGCGUUAGGGUUAAAAUCACUGUCCAAAACCUUUUAGGAACAUGUUUCAGACCUUUUGGAGUUGGUAACACCAAAAAAAAUGUAAAAUGAAAAAAAAAUAUUUGGGGUGUUCGGGCUUCCUGAAGGUAAUACCCGGGUAUUUGGUUAUGGGGCUAUAGUAAGGUUUAAGGUUUUUGGCGUUAGGGUUAAAAUCACUGUCCAAAACCUUUGUAGGAACUAUUUUCCAACCUUUUGGAGUUAGUUAGACCAAAAAAAAACGAAAAAUGAAAAAAAAUAUUUGGGGUGUUCGGGCUAAAAUCACUGUCCAAAACCUUUUUAGGAACAUGUUUUAGACCUUUUGGAGUUGGUAACACCAAAAAAAAUGUAAAAUGAAAAAAAAAUAUUUGGGGUAUUCAAGCUUCCUGAAGUAUUAGGUUUUGGGGCUAGGGUUAGGUUUAAGGUUUUUGGCGUUAGGGUUAAAAUAACUGUCCAAUUUUUUUUAAGGAACAUGUUUCAGACCUUUGGGAGUUAGUUAGACAAAAAAAAAAAGAAAAAGAAAAAAAAUAUAUUUGGGGUGUUCGGGUUUCCUGAAGGUAAUACCCGGGUAUUAGGUUAUGGGGCUAGGGUAAGGUUUAAGGUUUUUGGCGUAAGGGUUAAAAUCACUGUCCAAAACCUUUUAGGAACAUGUUUCAGACCUUUUGGAGUUAGUUAGACCAAAAAAAAUUGUAAAAUGAAAAAAAAAUAUUUGGGGUGUUCAAGCUUCCUGAAGGUUAUUCCCGGGUAUUAGGUUUUGGGGCUAUAGUAAGGUUUAAGGUUUUUGGCGUUAGGGUUAAAAUCACUGUCCAAAACCUUUGUAGGAACUAUUUUCCAACCUUUUGGAGUUAGUUAGACAAAAAAAAAAAAAAAGAAAAAAAAAUUUGGGGUGUU